rnacentral:rRNA from 1 species
AUUGAACGCUGGCGGUAUGCUUAACACAUGCAAGUCGAACGGCAGCACGGGGCAACCUGGUGGCGAGUGGCGAACGGGUGAGUAAUACAUCGGAACGUGCCCAAUCGUGGGGGAUAACGUAGCGAAAGUUACGCUAAUACCGCAUACGAUCUACGGAUGAAAGCGGGGGAUCGCAAGACCUCGCGCGAAUGGAGCGGCCGAUGUCAGAUUAGGUAGUUGGUGGGGUAAAGCUCACCAAGCCAACGAUCUGUAGCUGGUCUGAGAGGACGACCAGCCACACUGGAACUGAGACACGGUCCAGACUCCUACGGAGGCAGCAGUGGGAAUUUUGGACAAUGGGCGCAAGCCUGAUCAGCCAUUCCGCGUGCAGGAUGAAGG